CACGCAGCUGAGCUGCUCGCUGUUCGCUUGUUUAUUCAAAGUUAAUUAAACGUGUGGCGUGAACGAACACCUUCACUCUGGACAUUUGUCUGUUAAACAGCUACAGCCAGCAGCUGGUUUGCUUAGCUUAGCACAGCACAAAAACUGGAAACUUGUCUAUAGCGUGGUUCUGUCCAAAGAUGUCUGAUGGGAAAGAAGACUACUCCUGUGUAGCUGUAUGUCACGUCAUGUCAUAUUAUGGUAUGGUAUACCAGAUUCCAAAAAGACAGUUACAGCUGAAUGAUACAGUAUGACAUAUGGAUGGGAAUAUGGAUGUGGAUCUGAAUGUAAAUGUGUUCUGCGUAUACAGUGUAUGUAUAUAUGGGAGAAGGAAAUGCAGAGCUGCUGUCUCUGGUUUGUGUCACUCACACUAAACUAAUAAAACUCAGCUGUUGGUCAGUUAGGGAGGCUGAUGGUCAUGUGACUUGGGUAAUUUAAUGAUGAUGUAUUCCCAGUUACAUUGUGGUCUAAUUUUAUAAGACUUAUGAUGUGUUGAAAGAAAGGUAAAAUACAAUGCAAAUGAUUACUGCUAAAAUGACAAGCAUUAAGUAGAAGUGUGUUGAAUUAUCAUUAUAUUGAAUGUAUACCUCACAGAAACUUGUGAUUGAUAUAUGGGCACAAAGUAUGUUAAAAAUAAUCUCACUCAGUGCACUGGAUAAAAGAAUAAGUGUGUUUAUAUUAAACUUCACCUUUUUA